rnacentral:rRNA from 1 species
GCCGAAAGGCGUAGUCGAUGGGAAACAGGUUAAUAUUCCUGUACUUGGUGUUACUGCGAAGGGGGGACGGAGAAGGCUAUGUUGGCCGGGCGACGGUUGUCCCGGUUUAAGCGUGUAGGCUGGUUUUCCAGGCAAAUCCGGAAAAUCAAGGCUGAGGCGUGAUGACGAGGCACUACGGUGCUGAAGCAACAAAUGCCCUGCUUCCAGGAAAAGCCUCUAAGCAUCAGGUAACAUCAAAUCGUACCCCAAACCGACACAGGUGGUCAGGUAGAGAAUACCAAGGCGCUUGAGAGAACUCGGGUGAAGGAACUAGGCAAAAUGGUGCCGUAACUUCGGGAGAAGGCACGCUGAUAUGUAGGUGAAGUCCCUUGCGGAUGGAGCUGAAAUCAGUCGAAGAUACCAGCUGGCUGCAACUGUUUAUUAAAAACACAGCACUGUGCAAACACGAAAGUGGACGUAUACGGUGUGACGCCUGCCCGGUGCCGGAAGGUUAAUUGAUGGGGUCAGCGCAAGCGAAGCUCUUGAUCGAAGCCCCGGUAAACGGCGGCCGUAACUAUAACGGUCCUAAGGUAGCGAAAUUCCUUGUCGGGUAAGUUCCGACCUGCACGAAUGGCGUAAUGAUGGCCAGGCUGUCUCCACCCGAGACUCAGUGAAAUUGAACUCGCUGUGAAGAUGCAGUGUACCCGCGGCAAGACGGAAAGACCCCGUGAACCUUUACUAUAGCUUGACACUGAACAUUGAGCCUUGAUGUGUAGGAUAGGUGGGAGGCUUUGAAGUGUGGACGCCAGUCUGCAUGGAGCCGGCCUUGAAAUACCACCCUUUAAUGUUUGAUGUUCUAACGUGGACCCGUGAUCCGGGUUGCGGACAGUGUCUGGUGGGUAGUUUGACUGGGGCGGUCUCCUCCUAAAGAGUAACGGAGGAGCACGAAGGUUGGCUAAUCCUGGUCGGACAUCAGGAGGUUAGUGCAAUGGCAUAAGCCAGCUUGACUGCGAGCGUGACGGCGCGAGCAGGUGCGAAAGCAGGUCAUAGUGAUCCGGUGGUUCUGAAUGGAAGGGCCAUCGCUCAACGGAUAAAAGGUACUCCGGGGAUAACAGGCUGAUACCGCCCAAGAGUUCAUAUCGACGGCGGUGUUUGGCACCUCGAUGUCGGCUCAUCACAUCCUGGGGCUGAAGUAGGUCCCAAGGGUAUGGCUGUUCGCCAUUUAAAGUGGUACGCGAGCUGGGUUUAGAACGUCGUGAGACAGUUCGGUCCCUAUCUGCCGUGGGCGCUGGAGAACUGAGGGGGGCUGCUCCUAGUACGAGAGGACCGGAGUGGACGCAUCACUGGUGUUCGGGUUGUCAUGCCAAUGGCACUGCCCGGUAGCUAAAUGCGGAAGAGAUAAGUGCUGAAAGCAUCUAAGCACGAAACUUGCCCCGAGAUGAGUUCUCCCUGACCCUUUAAGGGUCCUGAAGGAACGUUGAAGACGACGACGUUGAUAGGCCGGGUGUGUAAGCGCAGCGAUGCGUUGAGCUAACCGGUACUAAUGAACCGUGAGGCUUAACCUU